rnacentral:lncRNA from 1 species
UCAUUGCUCUCCAUAGGAACUGUAUACCUGGAGGGAAAUAAGCCAAGAGUCUAUUGAAGCUGCAACUGAAAAAAUUCAGAAGAAGCAAGGCUACCAUGAAUCAGGAAACUUUGCCCAUGUUUUGAUGAAUUGAUUGUGUUAAUUGGCAUCCCAUCCCAAUGCCAGCUUUACCUCAGUUAUAUGAAGAACCACGAGGGGGCAAUGUCUUCCUGAGCAAUAGCUGAUGGUGGUCCUGAACCCCUGUGCUGGCCAGUAACCAACACUUUGCCCUCCUUGGCCAUUCUUGCCUGUUACUGAAUACAUUCCACAGAAAGGCAUUGUUUUGCUGGAGCCUGGCAGGGACCCAAAAAAAAUGACAAUUGAUCUAGUCCUUGAUGGUUCCAGUCAGACCCCACUUAGUAGGUAGAAUAUGUUGUUUUUUUUUUAAUAUUUAUUUUUUAGUUUUUUCGGACACAACAUCUUUGUUUGUAUGUGGUGCUGAGGAUCGAACCUGGGGCGCACGCAUGCCAGGCGAGCGCGCUACCGCUUGAGCCACAUCCCCAGCCCGGUAGAAUAUGUUGUGACUGCAGGAUGCUGGGAGAACCUUCCCUACCCCCACUCAGGGAAAUGUGGCUUAAUUCCAAAUAUAGAACCUAAUUCUUUUGUAUUUAAGCCAACCAGGAUUUUGUCCAUUGUUGAAAGUCAGAAACCUGUGGGAUAAGAAACAAAACCAAGUUCCAUGAGAGGAGCCAUGCCUGGCUUAUUCAUUGUUUUGUUUCAAACAUCUAGACAGUGCCUAACACAUAGUAGGCACAUAAUUUUUUAAAAAUUUAUUUAUUUAUUGCUUUUUUGGGGAUUGAACCCUGGGGCACUACCACUGAGCUAUAUCACCAACUGUUUUUGAGACAGGAUCUCCCUAACUUACCUUACUGGCCAUAAAGUUGGAUUCUUCUGCCUCAGUAACUGGAAUCACAGGCAUGUGCCACUGCACUUGGCCACUCAGUUAUUUUUUAAUGAAUCAAAUCUUAUCGGGUACUAAUUAUUGGAGUUGAAUGGCAUUAUGGGAUACUUUCAAGAUCCUGGGAGAAGGACUGAAUUAUUAGAAGACUCUUUGAGUGGAGACUCAUCACAAGGUCACUGGGCAGGGUCAUGGCAUGAGUCUUUAUUCAGUCUUUAUUUAUUUUGUGAGGGGUAGGACCUAGAUAAAAACUUUGUGCAGAGUGGAACAACUAAUGAGAUUUCAACAAAUAAAAGGUAAAAUCACACCAUGGCCUUGACACAACAAGCAACAGAGUUGAGAAGACAACAGGAUACCUAAAAUUUAUAUAGUCACUGGGAAGGGGAAAUGCAGGGUGUUUGCAGGAAAGCGGAGAAGAAUGGGAUAACAUGGCAGGAGGAAAGGGAUUUCUGUUUGCUGUCCUUUCCAUGAAGAAUGGUUUAGACUUGUUUGGAAGAAAAAUCAGUAACGUAUUAUCAACAAAACCCAAGGAAAAUCUAUAAACAGACUUCCACUAUUUAUAAAACUUUAUAACAGAAGGGAGAGAGAGAG